AUAGAGACUCAGAGCUGCAUAUCAAUAAGCGGAGGAAAAGAAACUAACAAGGAUUCCCUUAGUAACGGCGAGUGAAGCGGGAAGAGCUCAAAUUUGAAAUCUUCAAGGUUCUACCUUGACGAAUUGUAGUUUAUAGAAGUGUUUUCUGUUAGUAGAGUGGCAAAAGUUCUUUGGAAUAGGACAUCAUAGAGGGUGAGAAUCCCGUAUUUGGUCAUUCUUUCUAGCUUUGUGAUACACUUUCAACGAGUCGGAUUGUUUGGGAAUGCAGUCCAAAAUGGGUGGUAAAUUUCAUCUAAAGCUAAAUAUUGGCGAGAGACCGAUAGCGAACAAGUACCGUGAGGGAAAGAUGAAAAGAACUUUGAAAAGAGAGUUAAACAGUACGUGAAAUUGUCAAAAGGGAAGCGUUUGACACCAGUGUUGUUUUCUCGAAAAUCAAUUAAAAAUGACCGGAUUUUGUGUUGUAUUGACUUUAUCAGCUUUCUGCACUUUUUUCUUGAUCUUUUUUAAUGCACUUUUCGUUUAACAAGUCAACAUCAAUUUCUUUUGUUGUAAAAGAGGUCAUUGGAAGGUGGCUUUUCUUUCGGAGAAAGUGUUUAUAGCCUUUGGCCUUCUGCAAUCGGAGAGAUUGAGGUCUGCAGCGUAGAUCCUUCGGGGUUAGAUAGCAUUUGUGCUAAGUUAUAGCCUUUCAUAGACAACUUGUUGAUUAUGAUUAAGUCAUUGUAGCUUACUCGCUUAUGCUAUUUUACCUACGCUUAGGAUGUUGAAGAUAUGCGCGACACG
rnacentral:rRNA from 1 species